UAGGGAAUCUUCGGCAAUGGGGGCAACCCUGACCGAGCAACGCCGCGUGAGUGAAGAAGGUUUUCGGAUCGUAAAGCUCUGUUGUAAGUCAAGAACGGGUGUGAGAGUGGAAGGUUCACACUGUGACGGUAGCUUACCAGAAAGGGACGGCUAACUACGUGCCAGCAGCCGCGGUAAUACGUAGGUCCCGAGCGUUGUCCGGAUUUAUUGGGCGUAAAGCGAGCGCAGGCGGUUUGAUAAGUCUGAAGU
rnacentral:rRNA from 1 species